AUGGUUGAACACUAUUCACUAACAAAGGCUUUUUACAGAGAUAAGGUUGAAAGGGAUCCUAGGUUCGCCGCCUCUCCCACCUGCCCCGGCGCGGACCCCGAGGCGCCCCCGGUCUCGGCUUCCGCCGCGCUGCCCGCCAGCACCGCUGCGGAGAACAAGGCCAGCCCCGCGGGGACAGCAGGGGGGCCUGGGGCUGGAGCAGCUGCUGGGGACAUGGGACCCUUGGCGGCGCGGGCCGGGGAGCCAGCUGAGCGGCGUGGGUGUCGGCGGGUGGCGCGGCUCCCCCAGAAGGGGCCAUGUCUAAGGGUGUUUACGUACUGCCCAGCGCGGCCAACGGAGACGCGAAGCCGGUGGUGUCCAGCACGCCUUUGGUGGACUUCUUGAUGCAGCUGGAGGAUUACACGCCUACGACGCCAGAUGCAGUGACUGGUUACUACCUGAACCAUGCUGGCUUUGAGGCCUCAGACCCACGCAUAAUUCGGCUCAUCUCCCUAGCUGCCCAGAAAUUCAUCUCAGAUAUUGCCAAUGAUGCCCUACAGCACUGCAAAAUGAAGGGCACAGCCUCCGGCAGCUCCCGGAGCAAGAGCAAGGACCGCAAGUAUACUUUAACCAUGGAGGACUUGACCCCUGCCCUCAGCGAGUAUAGCAUCAACGUGAAGAAGCCGUACUACUUCACCUGAGCCACCCAACCUAAAUGUACUUGUCUGUCCCCAUGUCCCCACACCAGCCUGUUUUCACAAUAAACUUUAUUGUGACAAAAAAAAAAAAAAAAAAGAAAGGGAUCCUAGAACUAUAAUUCAAGAAGAUAAACUAUUUACAUAGCCAAAAUAUUCUGCUAGAUAACUAAUGUGGAAAAACAAAAAUCUUCAAAACUGGGUUUGAAAAAUCAACUAAAAAGAAACAAGGAGGAAGAGACUGGGAUCAAUACAGUUUUGUACAAAAAAGACUUGGGUGAUUUAGCUGAGUAAAAGCCCAAUAUGAAUCAAGAGCUAAAAACAGCUGAAGCCAGGCAUGAUGGUGUGCAUCUGUAGUCCCAGCUACUUGGGAAGCUGAGGCAGGAGAAUCUGCACUCCGGUCUGUAUGACAGAACAAGAUCCAAAAAAAAAAAAAAAAAAAGGGCUCAGUAAGUACCAGGAUAGAGAGCUUUUCUACACUUCCUGCUAAUUACAGAUCCAUAUGACAUAACAGAUAAUCAAACUGGGCACAGGCAACUCUUCAUUCUCUUUGAAGAGACUUAAAAACAGGGGCUGGAACAUAUUAUCCCAUUUUCAGCCUGGGAUAAAGCUUGAAGAAGCACCCACAGGCAGGGGUCAGGAUUCACAACAGGCUUCAAGGCUUCCAUAGAAGCCUUGAAGUUCUAUUCCACAGAGAACAGACUACAGAAAUUUUAGUCUGGAAAA